rnacentral:tRNA from 1 species
CACCAGCCUGGCUAACGGCAGCAGCCUGAUUGUCGAGAUCGGUAUCGGCAUGAUGCUGAUUGGCCUGGCGUUCAAGCUGUCGCUGGUGCC